rnacentral:rRNA from 1 species
GAUGAACGCUAGCUACAGGCUUAACACAUGCAAGUCGAGGGGAAACGACAUCGAAAGCUUGCUUUUGAUGGGUGUCGACCGGCGCACGGGUGAGUAACGCGUAUCCAACCUGCCCACCACUUGGGAAUAACCUUGCGAAAGUAAGACUAAUGCCCAAUGACAUUUAUAGAAGGCAUCUGAAAUGAAUUAAAGAUUUAUCGGUGAUGGAUGGGGAUGCGUCUGAUUAGCUUGUUGGCGGGGUAACGGCCCACCAAGGCGACGAUCAGUAGGGGUUCUGAGAGGAAGGUCCCCCACAUUGGAGCUGAGACACGGUCCAAACUCCUACGGGAGGCAGCAGUGAGGAAUAUUGGUCAAUGGGCGAGAGCCUGAACCAGCCAAGUAGCGUGCAGGAAGACGGCCCUAUGGGUUGUAAACUGCUUUUAUAGGGGAAUAAAGUGAGCCACGUGUGGUUUUUUGCAUGUACCCUAUGAAUAAGGACCGGCUAAUUCCGUG